rnacentral:tRNA from 1 species
AUUCAAAUAGUUUAAGAAAAAUUUUAAUUUGUGGGAUUAAAGAUAUAUAAUAAUAUUUUGGAUA